rnacentral:rRNA from 1 species
UACGUAGGGUGCAAGCGUUGUCCGGAAUUAUUGGGCGUAAAGAGCUCGUAGGCGGUUUGUCGCGUCGACCGUGAAAACUUGGGGCUCAACCCCAAGCCUGCGGUCGAUACGGGCAGGCUCGAGUUCGGUAGGGGAGACUGGAAUUCCUGGUGUAGCGGUGAAAUGCGCAGAUAUCAGGAGGAACACCGAUGGCGAAGGCAGGUCUCUGGGCCGAUACUGACGCUGAGGAGCGAAAGCGUGGGGAGCGAACAGG